rnacentral:rRNA from 1 species
CCUACGGGGGGCAGCAGUGGGGAAUAUUGGGCAAUGGGCGCAAGCCUGACCCAGCAACGCCGCGUGAAGGAAGAAGGCUUUCGGGUUGUAAACUUCUUUUGUCAGGGACGAAGCAAGUGACGGUACCUGACGAAUAAGCCACGGCUAACUACGUGCCAGCAGCCGCGGUAAUACGUAGGUGGCAAGCGUUAUCCGGAUUUAUUGGGUGUAAAGGGCGUGUAGGCGGGAAUGCAAGUCAGAUGUGAAAUCCCGCGGCUCAACCGCGGAA